UAUGUACUGGGGGGCUUUGGGGAGAAUAAGAAGAAGAAGAUUAGCUCAGGUGCCAAUCCAAAAAAAAAAAAAAGUUCUCCAGUAAAUGCUCAAGAGAGGAGAAUACAGAAUAAGAACUGCAGGAGGUCCAUCAGCAGUGCCUAUUAGACAAAUAGUAUGGUACUCACUAGCCAAGAAAAAACCUUCACAAAUACACCCUACCACACAAUACCUGGAGGGAUACAUUUGUAUUUUCAACACCACACAUGGCAGCACCCUGGAUCCUCUCAGACACAUCCAUGUAGCUGUCUUAAACAUACGUGAAAACCCUACUCUUCGUUUGCCUUUUCACCAGGGAGGAAAAAGAAAGUGAUCACAUACCAGAGUCCUAGAUUGUUGUUAACAAUGUUAUGUAUCAAGUCUUCUGUGCUUUCAAAAGGGGAUUGUUUUAUUUGUUUGGAGUGAGUUGAAAGUAUCUUGUGGUUUUGCACAACAGCAAUAAAAAGAGUUUAUCCUGUAAUUUUGCAGUUAGCCGAGCAAGUUAAGCCCAUUGGUUUUUCAGAUAUCUAAUGAUGUAAAUGUUGAGCAUUCUGUAUAUUCCUAGAACCAUGAGAUGCUUUUUAGCAAUGUAAUUAAGAGUAUUGGCAUUGGAAUCAAGCAAGUCUGGCUUAGAAUCCAAGGUCUGUAUGUCCAUGGGCAAGGUAUUACUUUGUAUGGGCCUCAGUUUCUGCAUAUGUAAAAUGGGAAUAAUAGCACUUAUCCUUUGGGGUAGCCAUGUGACUCAAAAAUGAUGAUAUCUGUAAAGUUAUUAGCCCAUAGUAAAUGUUGAGUGAUUUAUAGCUUGAGAGAGAACCAAGGUGUAUUCAUUAGAAAUGCAUCUAGUUGCAAGUAAUGGAAAGUUCAGAUAUAGUGGCUUAAUUAAUAAUUUUCUUCACACAACAAAAAUUCUGAAGGUAGUUGGUUGCUUUAGUUCAGUGACUCAGUGAUGACAUCAAAGACCCAAGUUCUUUCAGUUUCGAUGCUCCAUGCUCCUCAGUGUGUUGACUUUUCUUUCUUAUACUUGUUACUUUCAGGGUUUUUUCUGUUUGUACCUUUUGACCGCCUUCACCCAUUUCCCCCAUCCCCCAUCUCCCUGCCUCUGGCAGCCACCAAUCUGUUCUCUGUUGCUAUGAGUUAGGGUUUUUUAGAUUCCACAUACAAGUGAAAUUGUAUAAUAUUUGUCUUUCUCAGUCUGACUUAUUUCACAGUUGCUUUCUGAUUGCAAGAUGUACUUCUCUGUUUCAGAAUUUAUAUCAGAUUUCAGGGCUAGCAGAAUGGGGAAAAGGAUGAAAUUCACUUUUUUUUUCAGUGCCUAGACCUGGGUCACACGGCCACCCCCAGGAUGGGAGGACCAUCAGACAUAAUGUUAACCAGGGAUUUGGGUUUCUUUCUUAUUCCAAUACUCUAGUAAAAUUAAAGGUCACGUGGCAAAUGUGCUUCCAUCCAGCAGUAGAGAUUUAAUCUGUAACUUAAACUAAUCUGGUUUAAAACUUAAAAUAACUAUAGUAAGCUAAAGCUUAAAAUAAUUGUAGUAUUCAAGGUGGUGGAUCUCAAUCUUGGCCACACAUCAGAAUCCCCUGGAGAGUUUACAAACCGAAAACCCAAACCGGUAAUUCUGAUUUAAUUAGUCUGAAGUGGGACCUGGGCAUUGAGAAUUUGGAAAGUUCCCCAGAUCAUGCUAAUGUGAAGAUGGUUCAAGUUGUUGAUUUGACUUUCUAGUUAACUGAGGGUUAAACCCUAUAACCGUCUGGUCCCUCUUUUGCAGUCCCCAGAAUUAAAGAAUUAAAAUGUAUAACACACUUGUUUCUGUAAGUAGAAUGUCUAGGACAUAACUGUAUCCUUCUUGUUGCCUGAGGUCUCCUGUUGUGAUUUCAUAUCAUUAGAUACAGAAAAUGGUUUAAAUUUCAACUAUGCACUUUCAAAUGUAUUCUGGAAAAUGUUUACUUUUUUUUCAAUUCCUCGUGAUUUUGUAGAAUUUUUCUCUUUUUCAUAAAAAUAAAGUGUGUUAGGUAUCAGCUCCCACAUAUCUCCUCUCCAUAAAAUCAGUUCUUUAGAGUUUUAAUUAAUGGGUUUUAACUAAUUGGUGUUGUUUCUCUCUUUCCCAAAUGCAUAAGCAGGGAUAAAGGGCAUGUCAUUGAUAUGAAGCAUAAGUGAGAUUUUGGCAAAGAUUGGGUUUUAUUUCCCAAUCAUAAAUCCAUGGAAACGGAGCAGUUCCUUUAGUAAAAGAGAACUGCUUCUGAGUCUGGUGGAUUAUGGUUAACAUUAUGUCUGAUGGUCCUCCAAUCCUUUCAGCCUGAAUGAGGCUGUAAUGCUGCUGCCUAGUUUCAGUUUGCAUCUACAAACCGAGCUGACUCAUCUGUAAACUAUGCUUGGGCUUUUUCCUCCCCCUUCAGCUGUUUGUAUGAUACCCUGCUACAUGGCCAUAGGUAGGAGCUGAAGAAGGGGAGCUGAUGCAAUCAUGUGGGUGAUAGGGAGGUCUGGGCUCCCUGUUCAUGCAGAUAACUCAGGCCCUCUGAUCUUACUUGGACUCAAUCCCUGAUAUACCACUUCCAUCUUACAAUAGAUGUUGCUGGGUCCACCUAACUUUAUGAAUUGACAGGUAAGACAGAGCCCAGCUCAUAAUGGGCAGUUCUGGAUGGAUGGUCAUUAGUACACUGUAGUCAAGCAUUCUAUCUCCAUCAGAGCUCAGUAAUGUGCCAGGAGCUGUUUCUUGAGAUGUGUAGAACUCUCCAUUACAGAUGGCAUGACCUUCCUCCAGAACCCCAAGGCCCUAUGUUGUCCUCCUACUUAGGCUUACCAUGAACCCUACACUGUAUCUUUUCUCACUAUUGACACCACCCACAUCACGGGGCCUGCCAGGUGUCCUGGUCUAAGUGGGCAGAGCUGCUUUCACUGGACUCACUGUAGAGCUCUUUCCUGUUCCAGGCCCCACUUAGAGCUGGCAGCCUUCCACAUCCUCUGGUGGAUGGACUGGAGCAGGAUUCCUAGAUGCAGAUACUGUUGCUGCCAGAACCUGAAGAGGCCCACCAAACAUUCUAGUUCCUUCUUUGUAGUAGGGAAUACAAGAUGCAACAAUGUGUCUUUACUUUGGAGGGGAUGUCCUGACAUGCUCCUGACCCACCUCCUUCUUUUAAGUCCCAGAUUUUAGAAUUCCUGAAAAUUUUACUAAAGUGGCCUGUCCUUGAAUCUUUAUAGAGUUUGUCUCCUACCUUCUGAGCACAUGUUUCUUAUCGAGGUCUCUAGCAUAUUAGCCACGUCUUUAUUUUAUUGAUGUAAUGGAUCAAAGUGAUUUUCUGCGAAUGUGCCGAUGGUCCAGACCUCUUGGGGCUAUCCUAAGACAGAAGGUGGGCAUGCGCACAUAGCCUUGGUGCAAAACUAUAAAGGAAUAUUGUUGUUCAUUCCAAGGACUGUGAACUGCUUCUGAUCCUAUUUUCCAUCUGUUUUUUCCAUCCUAUUUUACCAUCUGCUAUGGCCACUCAAGCAUUUCACCUUUGCUCUCCAGGCUUCAGAAAGCUACGUACCAAUAUGUUUGCCCCAUCCCCUGGGGUCCUUGCCAAGGGAAUCUUCCGACUCCACUAUCAUUUUAUACUGUACUCCCCAUAACUUUCAAAUACCUGAACCAUUGCUUUGGCAAGGGCAUUCCUCUCCGUCAGAUGUCCCCCUGGUCGUCAGUGGGAGAUCUGAGUGGUUCCCCAGCACUCCAGCAUGCCACAUGGGCAUCAAGGAGGCAUCUGGCAGCCUCAGAGAAACCUCAGACAAAGAUGCAUCUGCUGGUUAUGGGAGGCUGGACAGUGUGCAAUGAAGAGGCAGGAGCUUUUGAGAAAACUCACCGAAGUCUGAAGAUGAGAAAAUAAAGGCAUGGGAGAAUAAUUUGCUGAGGCGUUAAUUCAGUCUCAUUCUCAUAGCUGUGACUGGAAGAAUGAGAGUUUCUUUUUUUCUCAGCUCCCUGCUCCUCAGCAAGUUGGACAGACUUUAAAAAAAAGGGAAAAAACCAGGCUCCUGAGAGAACAGAGCUGAAAUCUCAGAGAGGAAGCACUGCGGGUGUUAAAAGGGCAAAAUCCAAGCAGUGAUGGGAAGGCGGGUGGAGGUGGCGUCGGGAGGGUUGGGACUCCUGGAAUGUGGGGGAAUACGAGCUCUGGCAGAAGGAUCUGCCUCCAGAAGGUCAUGGGGCUUGGAGAAUGGGCAUUCCUUGGCAACCAUAAUGAACUAAAGACUAAAGACCCCAAUCCUCAAUCGUAUGGGCCCCUACAGUCCUAUAUGACUCUUUACGAUCCAUGAGUGAGGGAGGGGUUUCCACAAACCCAACUGAAAAUAUUCUCUACCUCUGGUGGGUGGGAGCUUAGCCACAUUGAUCAGGUUUAAAAAGAAAUAAUGCUGAUUCUUGCAGCAAAUUCAUACCUGCAGCAGAAGGAAUAAGUGAUCCCUCUUUGGGGACUGGCUGCCCAGGCGACUCACUCGGCUGCUGGGGGCAGCCAGGGCAGGCGUUCCCGUGGCUGUUCAGUGUCCCUUGUGUGGAUAAGCCACAUUCAUCCAUUCUCCUGUUGGGACACACUGGGCCCAUUCCAGCUCGGGGCUCCGGGAGCACACUAUCCCGGACCGUGUCCCACCCUUCACUGGAGUUUAUACCUAGGAGCAGAACUUCUGGGUCAAAAGGUGCUCUUACCUUCCUGGGCAGUACCGCUGGCUUUUCUAAAACAGAGAAUUUGUGUGUGCAGGUCCCGUGCUGAGCUCAGGGAGGGGCGGCAUUCUUCCAGAAGUCUCAGCUGCAGAGGGGCCUGUGCUGUGGGGAGGGGCCAGCUGCUCAGAGGGGGAUGAACAGGGAGGGAGCCCUGGCCGAGUGCAUGGAGGGUGGUCAGCGAUGCCCCCUGCAUUAGAGACACAGUUGCUGAGGGUGGCUGAUGGCAGACAUUCACUACGUGGAACAUUCCAGGCAGGAGGAGGAGGGUGCAGAGGCUUUGAGGCUGGGGGUGACCUGUCAGCUCGGCCACCACAACGAAGUGCCGCAGACGGGGCCGCAUGUACAACCGAAGUUCAUUUUCCCACAGUUCUGGAGGCUGCAAGUCCCAAACCAAAGUCUGGCAGGGUGGGUUCCUGGUGAGACCCCUCUUCCUGGUUGGUGCCUUCUCCCCACGUCCUCACGUGGUGGAGAGGGGGCUCGAAUGUCCCUUCCUUUUGUCAGGGCACUAGUCCUACCAACUUAGGGCCUCACCCUUAUGGCCUCAUUUAGCCUUUAGCACAUCCUGACAGGCCCCUAUCUCCAGAUACAGCCACACUGGGGGUUAGGGCGUCAACAUAUGAUUUGCGGGGAACACAAACAUUCACAGCCUGUAACACUAAACUUAGUGGGUUAAAAUGAGAAUCGUUAUUUAUUUACUCAAGAUUUCACAGUUUGGGCAGGGUCAAGGUGGGGACAGCUCCUCUCUGCCCUAUGUGACAUCAGCUGAGGCCUUGCUCAAAAUGCCUGGCAAGUUGGUGCUGGCUGAGAGCUGGGAGCUUGGAGGGGAGGGGAGAGCAGCUGAUGGCCGGGAGCCUUGGUCCUCCUCUGUGUGGAUGCAUGGGCUUUCUCACAGAGUGGUGGCUGCUUUCUAAGAGUGAGAAAGCAAAAGUUGCCAGUCCUUUUAAAGGUUGGGCCUGAAUCCAGCAGGAGUGUCAUUCCUGCCAUCGUGGAAGUCAGAGUCCUAGUACAGCUACUGGCCAAUCAUAUCACAGACGUCUUUUUUUUUUUGGAUAAAAAUGAUAUAUAUUUAAGGUGCACAACAUGUUUUGGUAUACAGAUACAUAGAGAAAUGGUUGCUACAAUAAAGCUAAUUAACAUAUCUA